rnacentral:rRNA from 1 species
UGGGGAAUUUUGGACAAUGGGGGAAACCCUGAUCCAGCCAUCCCGCGUGUGCGAUGAAGGCCUUCGGGUUGUAAAGCACUUUUGGCAGGAAAGAAACGUCGUGGGUUAAUACCCCGCGAAACUGACGGUACCUGCAGAAUAAGCACCGGCUAACUACGUGCCAGCAGCCGCGGUAAUACGUAGGGUGCAAGCGUUAAUCGGAAUUACUGGGCGUAAAGCGUGCGCAGGCGGUUCGGAAAGAAAGAUGUGAAAUCCCAGAGCUUAACUUUGGAACUGCAUUUUUAACUACCGGGCUAGAGUGUGUCAGAGGGAGGUGGAAUUCCGCGUGUAGCAGUGAAAUGCGUAGAUAUGCGGAGGAACACCGAUGGCGAAGGCAGCCUCCUGGGAUAACACUGACGCUCAUGCACGAAAGCGUGGGGAGCAAACAGGAUUAGAUACCCUGGUAGUCCACGCCCUAAACGAUGUCAACUAGCUGUUGGGGUCUUCGGACCUUGGUAGCGCAGCUAACGCGUGAAGUUGACCGCCUGGGGAGUACGGUCGCAAGAUUAAAACUCAAAGGAAUUGAC